ACCUUGUCAGCUCGGGGAUUCGAUCUAACAACCUUCCGGGUUACUGGCCCAACGCUCUAACCACUUCUAAUGCACAUACAUUUAACAGCAAAAUGUUUUAUUUCAUCCAGUCCUGCUACUACCCACUUCCUAUACAUCACAUUCAGGUUAACCUACAUAUUUUCAUAUUAAGGUGAUUAUGGAGGGAACUCUCUCUCUCUCUCUCUCUCUCUCUCUCUCUCUCUCUCUCUCUCUCUCUCCAUCUCGCUCUCUCUAUCACCAGGAUUGUGUAUCAUAUGACCCCCUAUUCCCUGUGUAGGGCACUACAAUUGAGCAGAGUCCAUAGGGCUGUGGCCAAAAUAAGUGCACUAUAUAUGGAAUAGGUUUCCAUUUAAGUAUGCAGCCCUAUACUCUCUCCUUCACAGUUAACCAUUGUUAGGCAGAGACAGUUAAGGGUCUGCUCACGUUGCCCUGUGACUGUGCGGUAAUGAAAUGGUGCUUUGUGUCCUCCGGCUCGGGGCCGGCCUGUCAGGGAGGAAAUCCUGUUGUUGCCUCCUGUGAAGACAUGCUUCCUUAUAUCACCAUAUGAAUACUGCUGUUAUGGAAUGUAAGGAAGUGUGUGGUUACAAGGGGACUGGUGCGCCAAACUGAGAAGAGGAUUUUGUGUUGACUUCUGGGCUAUACGAGUGAAUGACAUCUUUCAUUGGAGGAGGAUAUAGGACUAAUGGAAUUUAGAAAUGUACUUGAUUCAGACUUUUUACCCUGAAGGCCUAAAACAAAUUAGAACAUGUUUAGAUGUGUGUGUGUGUGUGUGUGUGUGUGUGUGUGUGUGUGUGUGUGUGUGUGUGUGUGUGUGUGUGUGUGUGUGUGUGUGUGUGUGUGUGUGUGUGUGUGUGUGUGUGUGUGUGUGUGUGACCCAGCCAACAGGUGAUAACACUGUUCCUCAUGCCGUGUCCUUCAGCCCACACACAUGUGAUAGUUAGCUAACCGUAGAGCUGUUGUAGCCUCAAGCCGGCCUACGUCUAAAAUGGCACCCUGUUCCCUAGAUAGUGCACUACUUUUGACCAAGGCCCGUGGAGAAUAGGGUGCCAUUUGGGGACGUAACCUUCGUUUCAGGCAGGUACCCACAGGACAGUUCCAGCCCAGCCCUGCGGACCGUCAGUGGGGAUUGACAGACCACAGCUGUCCUCAGUUACAGCAACAGAAGAACGGGGUUAUGGGAAAAAGGAGGGAGAGAAAGAGGUGGAGCUGUCAUUGGGAGUGGGGGUAAGGGAAAAGAGGACGUUUCUGAACUCAGACAUCAUCACAACUCCCAACAGCCGCUUUCUCUACCAUCUCUUCGUUUUAUUGUCUUUCGUCCUCCUUCUCUACCAUCUCUUUCUCCCUACUUUUCCCUCUCUCCUCCUCCUCCUCCUCCUCCCCACUCUCACCCAUCUCUUCUAUUUCCCCCCUCUCUUUCCCUCCUUCCCUCUCUUUCUCUCGUUCUCCCUGUCGUCCUAAAGCAGCACGCCUUGCUGUGGCUGGUCAAACGGAACCAAGUCAGGUGUUUCAGUGAGGUUUGGUCCCCUUCAACCAGCUACUGCGUCGUGAACUCAGUCAGCAGACAGACAGACAGACAGACAGACACCCGCAGCGGGAACGAAAGACAGAGUAGCCCUACUGCUGCAUGUUUUUGUGUCUACAUAAAUCAGGCGUUAAUGUGUUCUGUGUCUACAUAAAUCAGGUGUUAAUGUGUUCUGUGUCUACAUAAAUCAGGUGUUAAUGUGUUCUGUGUCUACAUAAAUCAGGUGUUAAUGUGUUCUGUGUCUACAUAAAUCAGGUGUUAAUGUGUUCUGUGUCUACAUAAAUCAGGUGUUAAUGUGUUCUGUGUCUACAUAAAUCAGGUGUUAAUGUGUUCUGUGUCUACAUAAAUCAGGUGUUAAUGUGUUCUGUGUCUACAUAAAUCAGGUGUUAAUGUGUUCUGUGUCUACAUAAAUCAGGUGUUAAUGUGUUCUGUGUCUACAUAAAUCAGGUGUUAAUGUGUUCUGUGUCUACAUAAAUCAGGUGUUAAUGAACAACAUUUUGUACACUAUGGAUUCCUCUUCCUUUUCAUACUGUAUGUUUCGGUCUUGUUUAUUAUUGUGCUUGAAAAAUAAAGAAUUAAAGAUGUGA